ensembl:rRNA 5S_rRNA 5S ribosomal RNA
GUCUAUGGCCAUAAUACCCUGAGCAGACCUAAACUCAUCUGAUCUUGGAAGCUAAGGAGGGUCAGGUCUGGUUAGUCUUUGGAUGGGUGUCCAUUGCCCAAAUCAACCUAUGACGACCUGGAAU